GGUUAAGCGACUAAGCGUACACGGUGGAUGCCCUGGCAGUCAGAGGCGAUGAAGGACGUGCUAAUCUGCGAAAAGCGUCGGUAAGGUGAUAUGAACCGUUACAGCCGGCGAUGUCCGAAUGGGGAAACCCAGUGCAAUUCGUUGCACUAUCGUUAACUGAAUACAUAGGUUAACGAGGCGAACCGGGGGAACUGAAACAUCUAAGUACCCCGAGGAAAAGAAAUCAACCGAGAUUCCCCCAGUAGCGGCGAGCGAACGGGGAGCAGCCCAGAGUCUGAAUCAGCUUGUGUGUUAGUGGAACGGUCUGGAAAGUCCGACGGUACAGGGUGAUAGUCCCGUACACCAAAAUGCACAGGCUGUGAACUCGAAGAGUAGGGCGGGACACGUGGUAUCCUGUCUGAAUAUGGGGGGACCAUCCUCCAAGGCUAAAUACUCCUGACUGACCGAUAGUGAACCAGUACCGUGAGGGAAAGGCGAAAAGAACCCCGGCGAGGGGAGUGAAAAAGAACCUGAAACCGUGUACGUACAAGCAGUGGGAGCACCUUCGGGUGUGACUGCGUACCUUUUGUAUAAUGGGUCAGCGACUUAUAUUCUGUAGCAAGGUUAACCGUAUAGGGGAGCCGCAGGGAAACCGAGUCUUAACUGGGCGUUAAGUUGCAGGGUAUAGACCCGAAACCCGGUGAUCUAGCCAUGGGCAGGUUGAAGGUUGGGUAACACUAACUGGAGGACCGAACCGACUAAUGUUGAAAAAUUAGCGGAUGACUUGUGGCUGGGGGUGAAAGGCCAAUCAAACCGGGAGAUAGCUGGUUCUCCCCGAAAGCUAUUUAGGUAGCGCCUCGUGAAUUCAUCUUCGGGGGUAGAGCACUGUUUCGGCUAGGGGGUCAUCCCGACUUACCAACCCGAUGCAAACUACGAAUACCGAAGAAUGUUAUCACGGGAGACACACGGCGGGUGCUAACGUCCGUCGUGAAGAGGGAAACAACCCAGACCGCCAGCUAAGGUCCCAAAGUCACAGUUAAGUGGGAAACGAUGUGGGAAGGCACAGACAGCCAGGAUGUUGGCUUAGAAGCAGCCAUCAUUUAAAGAAAGCGUAAUAGCUCACUGGUCGAGUCGGCCUGCGCGGAAGAUGUAACGGGGCUAAACUGUGCACCGAAGCUGCGGCAGCGACACUAUGUGUUGUUGGGUAGGGGAGCGUUCUGUAAGCCUGCGAAGGUGGCCUGUGAGGGUUGCUGGAGGUAUCAGAAGUGCGAAUGCUGACAUAAGUAACGAUAAUGCGGGUGAAAAGCCCGCACGCCGGAAGACCAAGGGUUCCUGUCCAACGUUAAUCGGGGCAGGGUGAGUCGACCCCUAAGGCGAGGCCGAAAGGCGUAGUCGAUGGGAAACAGGUUAAUAUUCCUGUACUUGGUGUUACUGCGAAGGGGGGACGGAGAAGGCUAUGUUAGCCGGGCGACGGUUGUCCCGGUUUAAGCAUGUAGGCGGAGGUUCCAGGUAAAUCCGGUACCUUAUUAACGCUGAGGUGUGAUGACGAGGCACUACGGUGCUGAAGUAACAAAUGCCCUGCUUCCAGGAAAAGCCUCUAAGCAUCAGGUAACAUUGAAUCGUACCCCAAACCGACACAGGUGGUCAGGUAGAGAAUACCAAGGCGCUUGAGAGAACUCGGGUGAAGGAACUAGGCAAAAUGGUGCCGUAACUUCGGGAGAAGGCACGCUGAUAUGUAGGUGAAGCCCCUGCGGGUGGAGCUGAAAUCAGUCGAAGAUACCAGCUGGCUGCAACUGUUUAUUAAAAACACAGCACUGUGCAAACACGAAAGUGGACGUAUACGGUGUGACGCCUGCCCGGUGCCGGAAGGUUAAUUGAUGGGGUUAUCCGUAAGGAGAAGCUCUUGAUCGAAGCCCCGGUAAACGGCGGCCGUAACUAUAACGGUCCUAAGGUAGCGAAAUUCCUUGUCGGGUAAGUUCCGACCUGCACGAAUGGCGUAAUGAUGGCCAGGCUGUCUCCACCCGAGACUCAGUGAAAUUGAACUCGCUGUGAAGAUGCAGUGUACCCGCGGCAAGACGGAAAGACCCCGUGAACCUUUACUAUAGCUUGACACUGAACAUUGAGCCUUGAUGUGUAGGAUAGGUGGGAGGCUUUGAAGCGUGGACGCCAGUCUGCGUGGAGCCAACCUUGAAAUACCACCCUUUAAUGUUUGAUGUUCUAACGUUGGCCCCUGACCGGGGUUGCGGACAGUGUCUGGUGGGUAGUUUGACUGGGGCGGUCUCCUCCCAAAGAGUAACGGAGGAGCACGAAGGUUAGCUAAUCCUGGUCGGACAUCAGGAGGUUAGUGCAAUGGCAUAAGCUAGCUUGACUGCGAGCGUGACGGCGCGAGCAGGUGCGAAAGCAGGUCAUAGUGAUCCGGUGGUUCUGAAUGGAAGGGCCAUCGCUCAACGGAUAAAAGGUACUCCGGGGAUAACAGGCUGAUACCGCCCAAGAGUUCAUAUCGACGGCGGUGUUUGGCACCUCGAUGUCGGCUCAUCACAUCCUGGGGCUGAAGUAGGUCCCCAAGGGUAUGGCUGUUCGCCAUUUAAAGUGGUACGCGAGCUGGGUUUAGAACGUCGUGAGACAGUUCGGUCCCUAUCUGCCGUGGGCGCUGGAGAAUUGAGGGGGGCUGCUCCUAGUACGAGAGGACCGGAGUGGACGCAUCACUGGUGUUCGGGUUGUCAUGCCAAUGGCAUUGCCCGGUAGCUAAAUGCGGAAGAGAUAAGUGCUGAAAGCAUCUAAGCACGAAACUUGCCCCGAGAUGAGUUCUCCCUGAGACUUUAAGUCUCCUGAAGGAACGUUAAAGACGAUGACGUUGAUAGGUCGGGUGUGUAAGCGUAGCGAUACGUUGAGCUAACCGAUACUAAUGAACCGUGAGGCUUAACCUU
rfam:Enterobacter aerogenes KCTC 2190, complete genome.